GAUGAACGCUGGCGGCGUGCCUAAUACAUGCAAGUCGAGCGGAAGGACGAGAAGCUUGUGUCUUUGAUGUUAGCGGCGGACGGGUGAGUAACACGUGGAUCACCUACUUAUAUGUCUGGGAUAACUUCGGGAAUCCGGAGCUAAUACCGGAUAAUAUUUUGCACCGUAGUGUUCAAAAGUGAAUGACGGUCUUGCUGUCUGUUCUAGAUGGAUCCGCGCUGCAUUAGCUAGUUGGUAGGGUAACGGCUUACCAAGGCGACGAUGCAUAGCCGAGCGGAGAGGGUGAUAGGCCACACUGGAACUGAGACACGGUCCAGACUCCUACGGGAGGCAGCAGUAGGGAAUCUUCCGCAAAGGUCGGAAGCCUGACGCAGCAACGCCGCGUGAGUGAUGAAGGUCUUCGGAGCGGAAAACUCGGUUAUUGGGGAAGAACAUAUGUGUAAGUAACUGUACACAUCGUGACGGUACCGAAUCAAAAAGCAACGGCUAACUACGUG
rnacentral:rRNA from 1 species